UACGGCGAAGUGGUAAUGUGCCUACAAGAAAGUUGGGUUUUGGUUUAGUUGGGUCUGGAAAACGAGCUGCAGUUCCUUCAGUUUUCCAUGAAGAAGAUGAUGAUGAUGCACACAAGGAGAAAAAGCAAAAAAAUGAGGCCUCUGGUUCCCAUUGAUUAUUCAACAGAGGAAUUGCAGGCAGUUCAACCUACUGUUUCAGGAGCACAACAACCAAGUCUUGCUGCUGCUGCAGAAUUUGCAAAACGCAUAUCUAAUGUUACUCCAAAAGAAGAGAAGCUUGAUGUGGAAAGAGAAAGAAGUAGACGUUCUCAUGAUAGGUCAAGUCAGCGAGACAGAGACAGGAUUGGUGAAGAUAUUAAAUGCAUGAGAGAUGAAAAGGAUAAGAUCCUUGAACGGGACAGGAACCAGGAACAUGGGUUGGACAAAGCAAAAACACCAGAUAAGCAGAAACUUUUGGAUGCAAAGCAGUU
rnacentral:misc_RNA from 1 species